UUUUAGCCAAUAAAAAAAAUAUAAACUAAUAUAAAUUUGCGGAGAUAGGGAUAUAGAGAUAUAGAAAGAUAAGAGUCAUAUAGACGCACGGCAGCCAGAGGUAAGACUGCGAUUAUCCAAUUAGUUUAUUCUAAUUUAUUUUCUUAUGAAUUUUCUUUUCUCUUAAUUCAUUUUUGUUCAUCAGACCUUAGCUUUUUGUUUGGUUCCCCAGAAAAUGAAAAUUUAUCGUUCCCAUGUUCGAGCAACCUGAUUGCUCUACCUUUUAUUUGUUUAUGGGGUUUGUAGAUCUAUGAUUUGGGAAUAAAACUAGAGAAUUAGAGAAGAUAAUCUGUGUUAGGAAAAAGAAACAGCUAAUUGAGGUUUAAAUCUUAUCAUAAUUGGUUAAAUUUGGUAAUUUAUUCGUUAUUUCAUGAAAUCUCUGGAACUGCAUUUUCAUAUCUCAUAGAAGAUCUUGAUGUGUUCAAUUUUUCCACACGCAUCCUUUAUUAAAUAUUUAUCAAAGGAAUUAUUAUUUUUCUUUAAUGUUGGGUGGGGAAGAAAUCAAGAAAGUUGAGUUUCCGUGAAUGGUGUUUUUGUAAUGGCCAUGGAGAAUGGAUCCUCAAACUUGGGUUAUGCUUAAGGGUCUGUUUAGGAGUGCUUCCUAGUCACAAAAAUCGUCAGGUGCUUUUUCAGGAAUCACUUUCGAGUGCUUUUCUAGGAAACAUUUGGAUUUUUGUAAUAAAAAUUUUCAGUUCUAAUAGAAGCACUUCUAGAAAAGCAAUAAUGAGGAGAAGCAGUGCCAAACGACCCCUUAUGCAUAAACUGAAUAACGUUCGAAUUGAUUUUGGGUGAUAUUAGGCUCGAAAGAGUUGGCUAUAUAUAAAUUAAAAAGAGAGACAACAAUUAUGGAGUUGACCAAUAUCACAAUUUGAAAUGCAGGAAAGAUUCAACAUUUUAUGGAUAGCAGAGGAGCAUGCAAGGAGGUUUCUGAUGAGCUGGCCAGGGAGUUGCUUAUUGCAAUUUCUCACCCUGUACCAGACCAGGUUCUUGAUCUGAGUUUCGUGCCUCGGGACAGGGUUCUUGUGGCAAAUGGGGAUGGGGAUGAGAAGUAUGUCUCUGAACUUAUGACCAUUUCUAAUGUGCCAUCCCCUGAUAUCAAAAACCUGAAACAAGCAAGCAUUUGCAAUUAGCAAUGCUGCAUUCUUCAUGGAAAAUGGAAAUACCCUUACCCUUAUAAGAUAUUGUAAUUAUUUGUUAUUGUUUUUCAACUACUACUGUUAUAUGAAUAAAAGCCACACACAGUCUAAUCGCAUCGAGAAGCUUCUGGUGAUCAGUGUAAUAAACCUUCAUAUUAU
rnacentral:lncRNA from 1 species